AAUGUGGAGGCUAUAUACAGGGGGUACCGGUACCGAGUCAAUGUGGAGGCUAUAUACUUAGUCAAUGUGGAGGCUAUAUACUUAGUCAAUGUGGAGGCUAUAUACAGGGGGUACCGGUACCGUGUCAAUGUGGAGGCUAUAUGCAGGGGCUACCGGUACCGAGUCAAUGUGGAGGCUAUAUACAGGGGGUACCGGUACAGAGUCAAUGUGGAGGCUAUAUACAGGGGGUACCGGUACAGAGUCAAUGUGGAGGCUAUAUGCAGGGGCUACCGGUACCGAGUCAAUGUGGAGGCUAUAUACAGGGGGUACCGGUACAGAGUCAAUGUGGAGGCUAUAUACAGGGGGUACCGGUACAGAGUCAAUGUGGAGGC
ensembl:lncRNA